rnacentral:lncRNA from 1 species
CUUCAGUCCUGAUGAAUCAGUUGCGGAAACCCCAAAUCUGUUUUUUUUUUUUUUGAAGUUUUAACAGUUUAUUCGAAUUUAAAAAGUAUGCAUCAUCUGAAGAGUCUGGGUUGCAAACUUCGCAAGACAGGUUGAUCGCAUGAUGUAAGGGGGACAUUCUCUGAUGGUUUAUUUCCUUCGUCCUUGUGCCCAUCCCAUUGCUGGGUGGUGAACACUUGUCAAAGAAACUCAUUCAAAUGCUUUCUCACCCAAUGUGUUGGAUUCCCUGUGAUUCAUUACAUUAUUUUCUUCCUGAAGAAAUCUGAACACAGAGAACUUGAAGCUGCAGGGGGAAAACAUUGCUGAUUUGUUCUAGGACAUGUAGACAUUCAUGUUCCAUCGGGACAGGAGGAUUGAGCAGAUGACAACUGGAGACUGUGCUCAUUUCCCAUCGAUGAAAUGCCCUCGGCUCAGUAGAAUCCCCUAUUUUAGAGAAUUGCAGAGCUAUUUGCUGGAAAUAAAGUGACAGCUUCAGAAGUGAUUCACAGAUUUGGAUGAACAUGAAGGUUUAGGUUUUUCAGGUCAUCACCUGGUGUCCAAUGGCAGGAAUAUUCUGAAGUGCCAAAGUUAAUCACUGUGGCUCCCACGGUAUCCCCUGAGUUUGUAAUGCAUGACUCUGAGGCCCACUUUUGGGUAAUGGUGAGUUCUGGGAAAGUAUCUUCUUCCACCUGGAGGCAGAAAUCAUGUGUGCCCCUGCUAAAGUCCACAGGUCUUUUUUAAGAAU